ACAGCAGUAGCCACGGUAAAACGUAGGUGGCAAGCGUUGUCCGGAAUUAUUGGGCGUAAAGGGCUCGCAGGCGGUUUCUUAAGUCUGAUGUGAAAGCCCCCGGCUCAACCGGGGAGGGUCAUUGGAAACUGGGAAACUUGAGUGCAGAAGAGGAGAGUGGAAUUCCACGUGUAGCGGUGAAAUGCGUAGAAAUGUGGAGGAACACCAGUGGCGAAGGCGACUCUCUGGUCUGUAACUGACGCUGAGGAGCGAAAGCGUGGGGAGCGAACAGGAUUAGAUACCCCAGUAGUCCCUGUCUCUUAUAC
rnacentral:rRNA from 1 species